rnacentral:lncRNA from 1 species
AGUAGUAAUAAUUAUAUCACAUUCUGAAUAAAUUUGUCAAGUAACAUAUUUCAAUUAAUAUAAAGUUGCGUAAAAAAUUAUUUUACACAAGUAAUGUAACACUCCUUAACCCUAAACCGUCGCCGGAACAGAGUUACCGAGCAUUACUGGAUAUACCAGAUAACUUAUAACUAGUUUAAACAUCAUUCUACAACCGUAAUAACAAAACUUUUAUACUUAACCUAUACAUCACCUAGGUACAUGCCACAUUAUCAAACAAAGGUACAUCACUAAAAUUUCUCUGAGGUCGGGAUUACUCUGGAUGCUGGACCGGACACUGACUUUCUACUAACCUGCACACGGAAACAACCGUACGCUGAGUAUAAGAAUACUCAGUGGUAUUACCAUAAUUCAAAUUAAUAACAUUAAUCGAUAAAUUAUACACAUUUAAAUUUAUGUCUACAAUUAUUCAUUAAUUAUCUCGUACUUUAAAUUAACUUGAUAAUUAAUAAUAAUAAGCAAUAUUUCAAUCUUAUACUUAAUUGUAUUCAUACCUUAUUUCACUAUCUAAAUUUUAUUGGAUAUUUCAACAACAACAAUUAUAAUAACUAAUUUUAUAAAAUUGUAUUCAAAUUAAUUCAUACACUAUUUCUUAAUUCAAUUUAUACCAUUAAUUUUUCAAUAAACAUUUAAUACAUUAAAUCAACUUGUUUCAACAACAACAACAAUAAUAAUAACUAUCUUUUAAUUCGAUUUGUUNNNNNNNNNNNNNNNNNNNNNNNNNNNNNNNNNNNNNNNNNNNNNNNNNNNNNNNNNNNNNNNNNNNNNNNNNNNNNNNNNNNNNNNNNNNNNNNNNNNNCAAUUUACACUAAAAAAAUCUUUUAACACUCAAUUUAUUCAUUAAAUUCAUAAAUAAAUUUCAAUAACUUGUAUUCAAUUAAAUUCACAUAUUAUUUCACUAUUUCAAAUCAUUUUAUUUUCACUUCUCAUUUCUCAACAAUAGCUAUUUUAAUUUGCUUUUAUUCACUUAGAUUAUUUUUUUUACAUUAUCUCAUACUACCAAAACCACUUCAUGAACUAUAUCAUUAUCUAUUUAUUGAACCCAUGGUUUAUACAUUUCAUUUUCUAUAUCUCAAUUUAAUAUCUCUUUUCGAUUCAUAUUCAAGAUCAUUCAAUAAAAUUUAUAUUAUCAAAAUUAUUCAUUUGCCCCUAUUAACUUGACUCGGACUCUGACAGAUACGCGGAUUCCACCCAACACACCAGAAUAUCCAACCAAAACACACCCGAAAUAAAUAUAAAUCCUCCAUAACACACCAAUAUAUCAUAUCCUCCCAAACACACCAAUAAGGCAUUAAAUGCCUCUUCGGAUAAACCGAAGCAUAUAAUAACAUAAUCAUCUUCUCGGCCGAGCUACAAAUCUCCUCAUCACAUCACAAAUCCUAUGGCAUGCCAUUUGUAUCCAAUCUAGUCCGAUAAGUUAAUAGGGCAUUCGAAUCACAUUUCAAUUCAAUCACUUUCUCAUACUUUCAAUACCAAUUUAAUCACAAUUUAAUUCAAUACAUUUUUCACCUUCCAAUCGGUAUACCAUCAAUUGCUCAUACAUAUUCAUACUUCAUUUUAAUUUCAUUCAAUUCACAUACAAUUCAAUAUCAUUUAAUUCAAUAUCGAUAUUCACCUUAUUUUUAUUUACUAAACAUAUUAUUCAAAUUUCAACAAUUGCUAUUAAUAAAUUCAAUAUCAAUAUUUAUUUAUCAUUCAAUUCAAUCAUGAUACUUACUUCAAUUUGCUUAUCAUGUAUAUUAAUUUAAAUUUUAACAAUUAAUAAUUAAAUUCGAAUUAUGGUAAUAUUAACCGUAAAUUUUCUCGAGUCACUCAUUGUUCACCUUCUCCUUUCCUUUCUCGGACAAUGACUCUUGCAUGACAUUAGCUACGUAAUUAAACAAUUAAAAAUCAUUAAUACACAAUUUCAUUAAAAUAUUUCCUUUUAUACCUAAACUUUACCCAAAUUCCAAUUUAAUCCCUUAUCAAUACUAAUUUUAUUUUCCCAUUCUAACUCUAUAUUCUCUCUUAAUUCUUACUAUAAAUUCACUUUAACUCUUCAUUUUCACCAUAAAUCCCUAAUUUCAAAAUUCUCUCAAUUUAGUCCCUAUUAAUUCAAAGCCUAUAAUUUAUUUUACAAAUCAACCUUUUACUAACUUCUAACUUGAAAUUUAAUCAAUUUAACCCCUAAUUCUUUCAUUUAUUCAACAUAAUCAAUGUCUAGAAAUAUAAUAACUUCCCAAAUUUCAACAUAAAUCCAAUAAUACUUUGUUCUAGGAUACCAAAAACUCAAAAUUUAUAAGAAAAGGACUUAAUUUAACUUACCAAUUGAGCUUGGAAUCUUGAAAUCCCAAAUUUUCUUCCUUUGCUUCCCUUUUUCUUUUUCUUUCCUUUCUCCCCUGUUUUCGUUUGCCUAUUCUGUUUCCAUUUCUCUUUUUCCAUCUUUUUAUUUCUUUUAUUUAGU